UAUUCGUCAUAUUAAGUAAUGAUUUCAUUCAUUCAUUUAGCAAACUAUGAACACUUUUCAUGUGCAAGAUAUUAGAAUAUAAGGCCAAGCGUGACAUGACCCUGGCCAUGGCUUACAGUUUGGUGAAGGAGACAAACUUCUAGCUACCACAUGCACAGGUUUUGGUGGCCAUCUAUACCAUCCUAAGGAGAUGUCUACCUAUGUAUAUGCUUACAUGAACUGAAUUUACGGGCCUCUAGGGCAGUGGGAGAGUCCUGUGAGGGCAAUGUGGAGGAGGGAUCAUGAGUUUUUCCAAGGAAUGUCAGAGAAGGCACUAGGGAGGAAACUCCGAGCGCUUUGCCAGACAGAAGAGGCACAAUGAACAGGAACUGAAGAGUGAGCAAGAGAGGAACGGAGGCGAGAGUGAUCUUUUUAGAGCAACUGGAGCAUGACACAGACAUGGAACAGACGUGGUCUGUGACACAAAUACAUACACGAAGCAAAGUAAUUAGGAGGGUGGAAAUUUCAGCCACAUGCUCAGGGGCAAGAGAUGUUCCUCACGGGAUUGGUAAAGAAGAAAACUCAUCGAUUCUCUGUGACAUUAAUUAACUUGGGAAAUUCAUGCAAGAACUACUUGGAGUCAAGUGUGAUGUAUAAAUGGUAUCAUCUAUUUCGACAUGUUCCUUUCACUGUCUUCAAAACAUCUACGAGGACGUCUGGGUUGCCUACCUCUCCAUUUGGCAUCCCCAAAUGAGGAGAAAUGUGAUGGCAGUAGUCAAGAUUUGGUCGGAACCGGCUUCUCUCCCCUUUAUGUGGGUGGAUGAGAGUGUCGUUCAUGAACGCGCACAUUUUAAUAUGUAUAAAAUACUCUAAAGACAGCAAAACAACUAGAAGACCUCCCGGAAAUCUGCAGUCCCCUUGAGGAAAUAAAAUUUGCACAUGAAACCA
rnacentral:lncRNA from 12 species